AGAUGAAUCUGUUACACAAACAAGAAAGCAUUCCGUUACAGGGCAUGUGUCUGGAAUCCCUGUCCAGCUGGAUGGGUCUAACGCAAGCUCAGCCUGUCACUUCAACUUGGGACCCAGUUGACGGUACAUUGGCUUUGAAUUUUUCCAGUUAAAUACAAUUGCAUGACAAGGAACUUGAGAGAAACUUUAACUUUUUUGUUGUUCUUAACAGCAGAACAUUAUCACAAAAAUAGGGCGGUGGCUCAGCAAUGGAGACAGAAAUGAGAGCCAUGAGGACACCCGUUACCCACAUGGCACAGCGGAUGGAUACAUUUGAGGAGAAGAUGGAUGAGCUGCUCAUGCUCUUCAGGAGCUCCCUGUCACCUUCUUCUGCUCCAAGUCAAAGUGUGCCAUUUUCCCAACAGCAGCUGGGUCAAAUAUCCAGUUAAAAAAAUAUGGCUGUACAGGUAACCUAUUGCUGCUAUACUAUAUGUUCAUAAAUAAUUCUCUCUGUAUGGAAAUGCUUUUCUUUUUCUUUUUUUGCGCUACUGGAUCAAAAAUGUUCUCUUAAAAUAGAU